GUAGAUGCUCAUCCUAUUUCUUAUGACAGUAUAGGCUUCAUAAACCCAGGGAUGAUGCAGAGCCGAUUAUCGGUGCCUAUUGUCCAUGUCACAGAUGAAUAAGAUGUAGUUAUCUUUUCAUCACCGAUCGGACUCAACGUUGAGUGAGGCACUAUCCGUCUGUAGACCUGAUUGUAUUUAUACACCUAUCUUUCUAAGGUAGGUGUUUUUUU
rnacentral:sRNA from 1 species